rnacentral:lncRNA from 1 species
CCCCUCCCCCCUCUCAUGUGCACUUUCCCUGCUGCCCAAAGGAGGGUUUGGAUCAAGUUUAGGAGGAGAUCACGAAAGUGCCAAGCGCCUGGCUGGAGCCGCUGGCGGGUGUGCGCGGGGGGGGGGGGGUUAUUUGGGGAGGGGGCUUUUUGCCGAGAGUCCAGCAAGCUUUUUCCACCCUCCUUCUUCUCCACUCUCCAAGGCGUGGAAGGACAAGCAGAGCCGGGAGCUCCCAGCCGUUCCCAGGGGCCGGCUGAGACCCGCUGAUCCCCAGGAGGAGCAGCAGAAGUCGAAGCCUUUUGCAGAAGAGGAAGAAAACCAAACCACGGCCACCUCCGAUGGCUGCAGUUCUGCACCAGUCCCAGCCAGGGAAGAGGGAUGGAAAGAAGCAUGCCUAGUUCAGGGGAGAAAUAAAGAACAUUGGAACACGCAGGCUUUGAACUUAGCAUAGCCGAGAGGGUUCUGUUCUCUCAGCUGGAAUGCGACCUACAACACGGCACGUAAGAACGGCCUAGAUGCGUGUGUGCCUGCAACGCACGGUCAAGAUGCAAACUUUCCACAGGCAUCGAUGGGGACAGGAGAAAACAAACUCAAUCUGGCCCAGGAUCUGCAUAGAGACAGCGAGGACUCAACAGAGACAGGUUACACCUCCCCAGGCCUAGGGUGGGCUGGACUUUUCCUGCCUACGAGGAAUUGCCUGGUCAGGAAGAGAUUAAUGUCAUUGUCUUCUACCUGCAAUGCUUUGAGUGGCUCUCGAUGACUGGCUGGCUUGGCUGUAUAACUCCAAGGCAAGGAUGAAAGUCUGGGGGAUCCAGGGAGGGAAGGAGCUACCUUACUGCCCACAUGGACGCUAGAGGCCCCUGGCUGUCUUGCAGAAGGAAAUUCUGCCAUCCCGCUGGCCUGACCCUAUCCCAGAGGCUCCGCCAACCGAUUCCAUCCACGUCCGGGGGUCAGGCAGCCCUGGAAGGCGACUCACUUAGCGACGGAGAUUCAUGCUGCGCAUCUCACGCCACCACAACUGGGCUUCUCCGGGGGCGAAGUAAGGCCAUGGAAAAGAACUGCUCUAGGCUGGGAUUUCCAGAGCAGCUUGUGGGCGUUAGGUACCCAACUGGGAGGGGGGAAGCAUGCGGGGGCCCAGUGUUUCCUGAAAAUGAGGCCCCUUCCAGUUGGGCCCACCAAAAUUAGGACACUCAAAAUUGCUAGUUGCUUUUUAAAAUCUUGCCCUGGGUGACUUGUCCAGGGUCACGCAGAGAGGCUGUGAGUCCAGGAACUGC